UCCACAGACCAACAUCCACACAAAACCGAUUGGAUUGUAAGCUGCACAUUCCAGAGGCUCUCGGGCAGCAUUCCGGCAUAAGAAGCACACAUUUUUACAAGCAGCAAGGCUGCCGGCUGUAACUUUGCCAUUAACACAGCACCCUGUGAAAAGCAUCCAGGAGGAAGAUUUCGCCAAUACUGUUUCACUCCGAACUGGGGAUAUACAACAACACCCUCUUCUUCUCAUUCUCCAGGUACCAGUCAGAGCCUUCAUCCAGUAGCUGAUCAAAGCAGAAGCAGGAACCCACAGCUAAACACUGAGCCAUACUUCCGGAAUCCACUUGCAAAGAGAGAGGAAGGAUGAGCAAAGGAACUAAGACUGUGCUGGAGAAACCCACAAAAAUAGUUGACCUGACAUAGUGAGAGCACUGAGACCCUAGGUGUAAAGCUGCAGAACCAUCAUUGGACCGAACCAAGCCCUCUGAAAACUCUAUAUAUUAUAAUCAAAGAAGAAACUGAAAGUCUUAAAAGACAAUGUACAGCUGUGAUGACUAAGGGAUGUUAUGAUGUGAUCACAAACAGAAGACCAAGACUAACUCAAAAAAAAGGACUGGACCUCUUUUUCCUCUGGAAGCUACAUGGUGUGUCUGUCUGUGUCUCUCUUUCCCCGAAUUCUCCUCAACUCCUAGUCCCACCUAUCUUGCUUUCCUAUUGGCCAACAGUGCUUUAUUGACAUAUACACAAGACUUCCCCAUCAGGUCACUUAAGACCAUCAGAACACAGAGACACUAAUGUUAUGAUACAUAAAAGUUGCAAAAUUACAGUUAUAAUGAAGAAACAAAAUGAUUUCAUGGUUGAGUUCACCAGAAGAGGAAGAAUAGUAUUAAUGGGUUGCAAAAUCAACUGGCUGAGAAUGACUGCUCUAGAAUGAGAUGAGGAUAUUUCGGACCUUGUAACACUGUUGAAGAAAGGAACUAUUCCACCUUGAUCAGAUUCAACAAGAAAAAGACAACCAUGAAAAUAACAAUACACAAUUCCUGACAGAUCUUGGGAAAGCAGAAAUAGUAGUGGAAAGAACGAAGUUAUUAUGGGACUGCCAUAUAUCUAUGAAUGAGAUUGAUUUACAUGUCAUCUUAAUAUAAAUUCUUGUUCAGAAAUAGAGAUGGGACAUUUUUAUCUGUGGAAAAAAUGAACUAGUAAAUCCAGAUCAAGUUUAGUCUAGGUCAUAAUUUCUUUGAAAGUGAUACAAUAUUUAUUAUGUACCUAUAAGAGGACAAAGAAUAGAAACAGAUAUGGCAUAUUUCCCAAAUUCUGAGUAACUGAGCAUAGACCAUACAUCAAAAGUCUGACAGAUAUGAGGUGAAUAUAGAACAGCAAUAUUUUGGAGCAUUACCUAAUCAAGAGAGAAGGCCUGAUUUAUGAUGACAUUGGAUGAAAGACAAGAAAUAAAUAUCAAUGUUUGACUUAAAUAUAUUACUUUGAUUUUUAACUAAAGGUAAAUAAUCAUUCUUCAACAAUUAAAUUAAAGGUACAAGAACAGCAGCUACUACUUAGUUUUAGUGAACAUGGUAAAGAAAAUACUGAUGAUGAGACAAUUGAAUGAUGUAAUCAUCAAAGAUUACUAGAGAUUACUGGUUAUUUCAAGAAUGGAUGAAUGAUAAGGCACUUGUGUUCAUACUAGCAGAAGAGAUGUGUAGUUUGAAUGACUUUUCUUUUGCAAAUGUAAAAGUCAGCAAAAAAAAGUUGACCUGAGUAAAAGGGGAAAAAGAGAGUGAAGUUUUUAUAGAAAUAGAAUAUAGAUAAAAUGUUCUAAUCAAGGCAUUUAGACUUGUGAGGAGAAAAAGCUAAAGUGGUAAGGAGAAAAGUGUUGAAAGGAGAAAUACAAAAGAAAACUUGUUAUUCUAGCAGAAAUUAUCAGAAAGAAAUGUUUCAUCUCCUCAACAAAGGCCCAACAUGAUAUGUACAUGGUGUAGGUGUUAUGAGCAUAACCAAAGGAAGAAACACUAGAGCUUAUUUUGAACUAUCCAAUUGUUAAGGAAGUCCCAGGGUGAGUCAUGUGAGUGUGUGCACUUGCGUGUGUGUGUGUGUGUGUGUGUGUGUGUGUGUGUGUGUAUGUGUGUGCUCGUGCCUGUGCUUGGGGGUUGGGUGGGCACAUGCCUAUGAGAGAGAAGAAAAAAUGAGCCUUCUUAGUAUCAAUAAAUAUAGGCCUGUGCAAUGGGGCAUGAUGACCAUCUGUGUUUUGUACUAUUGUUCGUAUGUUUUGUAAAGAAUUUGAGAAUUAUUUCUUACUUCAGCCUUGAAAACACCAAUUAGCAUUAGUUUCAGGCUUCAGUUAUAAUUUACAAGGUCUCAUAUUACCUCAAUGUGGUUUUACCCAAAUAUAUUGGCUCAUGGGUCAAUUAAUUGAAGUUUCAAAGUCAUUAGUAUUGCCAAAUAAUAAAGAAAUCAGUGAUUAAUUGGAAUAAUUUUAACAAACAUAUACUUUAAAUAAUACUGUAACUCCAUAUAAUCAUUUUGCAUGUGUUAUAGUUCUUCUAAUGUUCAAGUAAA